GAUGAACGCUGGCGUCGUGCCUAAUACAUGCAAGUCGAGCGAACAGACGAGGAGCUUGCUCCUCUGACGUUAGCGGCGGACGGGUGAGUAACACGUGGAUAACCUACCUAUAAGACUGGGAUAACUUCGGGAAACCGGAGCCAAUACCGGAUAAUAUAUUGAACCGCAUGGUUCAAUAGUGAAAGACGGUUUUGCUGUCACUUAUAGAUGGAUCCGCGCCGCAUUAGCUAGUUGGUAAGGUAACGGCUUACCAAGGCAACGAUGCGUAGCCGACCUGAGAGGGUGAUCGGCCACACUGGAACUGAGACACGGUCCAGACUCCUACGGGAGGCAGCAGUAGGGAAUCUUCCGCAAUGGGCGAAAGCCUGACGGAGCAACGCCGCGUGAGUGAUGAAGGUCUUCGGAUCGUAAAACUCUGUUAUUAGGGAAGAACAAAUGUGUAAGUAACUAUGCACGUCUUGACGGUACCUAAUCAGAAAGCCACGGCUAACUACGUG
rnacentral:rRNA from 1 species